ACGUCCGUAAACACCCAACUUCUGAAAUGUUGACCUCGGAUCAGGUAGGAAUACCCGCUGAACUUAAGCAUAUCAAUAAGCGGAGGAAAAGAAACCAACAGGGAUUGCCCCAGUAACGGCGAGUGAAGCGGCAACAGCUCAAAUUUGAAAUCUGGCCCCUAGGGUCCGAGUUGUAAUUUGUAGAGGAUGCUUUUGGUGAGGUGCCGCCCGAGUUCCCUGGAACGGGACGCCGCAGAGGGUGAGAGCCCCGUCUGGCUGGCCACCGAGCCUCUGUAAAGCUCCUUCGACGAGUCGAGUAGUUUGGGAAUGCUGCUCAAAAUGGGAGGUAUAUGUCUUCUAAAGCUAAAUAUUGGCCAGAGACCGAUAGCGCACAAGUAGAGUGAUCGAAAGAUGAAAAGCACCUUGAAAAGAGGGUUAAACAGUACGUGAAAUUGUUGAAAGGGAAGCGCUUGUGACCAGACUUGGGCGCGGCGAAUCAUCCGGGGUUCUCUCCGGUGCACUUCGCCGCGUUCAGGCCAGCAUCAGUUCGGCGCGGGGGAAAAAGGCUUCGGGAACGUGGCUGCUCCGGCAGUGUUAUAGCCCGUUGCAUAAUACCCUGCGCUGGACUGAGGACCGCGCAUCUGCAAGGAUGCUGGCGUAAUGGUCACCAGCGACCCGUCUUGAAACACGGACCAAGGAGUCGUCUUCGUAUGCGAGUGUUCGGGUGUCAAACCCCUACGCGUAAUGAAAGUGAACGCAGGUGAGAGCUUCGGCGCAUCAUCGACCGAUCCUGAUGUUCUCGGAUGGAUUUGAGUAAGAGCAUACGGGGCCGGACCCGAAAGAAGGUGAACUAUGCCUGUAUAGGGUGAAGCCAGAGGAAACUCUGGUGGAGGCUCGCAGCGGUUCUGACGUGCAAAUCGAUCGUCAAAUAUGGGCAUGGGGGCGAAAGACUAAUCGAACCUUCUAGUAGCUGGUUUCCA
rnacentral:rRNA from 1 species